rnacentral:rRNA from 1 species
CAGCAGCCGCGGUAAUACGGAGGAUCCGAGCGUUAUCCGGAUUUAUUGGGUUUAAAGGGAGCGUAGGUGGAUUGUUAAGUCAGUUGUGAAAGUUUGCGGCUCAACCGUAAAAUUGCAGUUGAAACUGGCAGUCUUGAGUACAGUAGAGGUGGGCGGAAUUCGUGGUGUAGCGGUGAAAUGCUUAGAUAUCACGAAGAACUCCGAUUGCGAAGGCAGCUCACUAGACUGCAACUGACACUGAUGCUCGAAAGUGUGGGUAUCAAACAGGACUAGAUACCCUGGUAGUCCACACAGUAAACGAUGAAUACUCGCUGUUUGCGAUAUACAGUAAGCGGCCAAGCGAAAGCAUUAAGUAUUCCACCUGGGGAGU